UUCCCACCGAACACUGUAUCCAGUUCUCUUAAUACAUCCAUGGGUGCACACUGGGAGCACAUGGUGGAGCACAUGGAGCCGUAAGGACACACGUGGCAUCGAGGAAUAAAAACUGACCGCCAAAAAAAACCUCAAAGAAAAAGAAGAAGAGAGCACCAAUAACAAGUUCUCUGUUCAACCAUUGAAAUGCACGAGUCCUUGAGGACGAAAGAGAUUUUGGUUGUACUUCUGCUGGUCACUGUAUGGAUAGAGUCUACUGACACUGUUAGGAACACAGGGAGAAGAUGAUCCUGCUCAUCAUCCUGCUGCUCAUCAUCCUGACCUCCUGUGUCUCUGGUUAGUUUACAGCUUCACUUUAUUAUCCACUAACACUAAACAAAGAAUCACUAAAGUGUCCACAGAAACAUGUGGAGAUGGAGUUUAAAGUUGUCAGUGUGUGUGUCUGCUCCUCACUUUCCCUCUCUGUCUCCUCAACAGGAACAUUUGUAGUGAAUGUGACCCAGAGAUCCUAUCAGGCAGAGGAGGACCAGGAGAUCACACUGGAGUGGACCUUCACUACCAACAAUCACAGUUCCUCCAACUCUCUGAAUGUCUUCUGUCAACUGAUAACUGAUAUCAAGAAUCCUGGCCUGUUUCAUCUCCAUGAAGGAGUUGAGGUCCCAGAGUCUCGGCAUGAACAGUUUGCUGGACGGGUCCAGUGGGACAAAGACGUCCUCAGAGAAGGACGACUUAGACUUCAUGUGUCCAGACUCAGGACUGAGGACUCGGGAAUGUAUGUCUGUAAAGUGUAUGUCACGUUAUA